AGCUCUGAUUGUGCCACUACACUCCAGCCUGGGCGACAGAGCUAGACUCUGUCUUUUCAAAAGGUGGGGAGAGAUAGGGGCUAAACAGAACAGUGGUCACCAGAGCCUGUGGAGAGGGAGGGGUGGCCGCUCUGACCACUGCCCAGCCUGAGUGGCCCCAGUGUGCCUCUUCCCCUUGGCCUUCAGCCCGCAAGGCAGCAUCCUCACCUGCCCCACAGAAGGGGGUUGCUCCCCAGGUUACUCCGCCCAGAGAAGCCCCACAGAGGCCUGCGGUGCUGCAAGGAGCUGCUUCCUGUGUGUCAGGCUCCAUCAUCGGCCAGGUAUGCUCUGAGCCAACACCCUAGCCUGGGCCACGGCGGGGACCCUGUCCAGGUGGCCGGGAGGGUACAGGAGUCCCUUAGCCCCAAGUCCAGGGCUGGGGAGAAAUCCUCAGGUGGGGGCAGCAGCGUCUGGACUGACUGUUCACCCCCAGCCCUGAGCCCGGCAGCUCUGCUGCCUGGGAAUCUCUGCUAAUUGGCCCCCAGCACCUCCCGGGCUGAACGUUGCUCAAACAUGUCAAACUUGCCACUUGAUUGACAACGUGUCACUGUUCCAUGAGAUUUCUGAGGUGUUCCCGGGACUCGGCAACCUUGGAAGUUGGAUAAAGAACUCCAGGAAACUGGCAGGCUCUUCUGCGAUGCUCUCGGGGUUCCUCAGAUGGAGUGCCGCCUCAUGGUGCACAGCAGGGCUGGGGCUCCCAAAGGCCUUCUCUGAAGAGCUGCUGUAUGUUGCCAGGAAACUCUAAGGCAGGGGCUAUUCAACAAGCUCACGAAGAUGACCUUCUACGGGCAGUUUGUAGCCGGUGAGGACCAGGAGUCCAUCCAGUCCCCGAUCUGGCAAAACAGGGCCUUUGGUGUCGGCUCCAUCCUGGACUAUGGAGUGGAGUGGGACCUGAGCCCCAAGGAGGCUGAGCACAAGGAGAUGGAGUAAGGCCUACCUGGUGUCUGCAGGCGUGCUGACGAUGACCCCGGAGCACCCAGUGGGAGCAGGUGGGACGUGUCCAGCUGCUGGACUUCAGCCUCAGCUGGGCAGAGACCAAGGCUAGGAGAGCUUGGUCAGCUCAACUACCGACGACCCUCCUGGGUUCUGCCUGGAGUUCUUGCAUUUUUGUUUCAUGUAGAUGACAGCUCUCAGCUUUCACGGGAGGCCUGGUGUGUGUGAGGCCUGAGGAAGCCGAGCACAGAAUGGCCCUUGGCCCUAUCUAGCCCACCGCCUGGAGGAGGACAAGCACCAGCACAUGAACCAAGCACUAUGCAAAGAAUGGUUGGUUUCGCCUGGAUCUCUCAUGAGCCUCGUCUUCAGGAAGCGGACAGCAACAUGUUCUUGUUCUGUCCUGAUGCCCUGGAGGGCACGUCAGGGUGGUACCAACUGCCCUCUACAUUCACUGCCUGGGAAGAGGCUCUGUAUCACGUAUCACAUCCCCGGGGACAGCUACCCACAGCUGAGCUCAGUAGAGGCUGAGGAGGUGGUCAAGGUCUUCCUUCUGUCUCUGAAGACCCCCUGGGGACUCAUGCUUGUCCUCCUCUGCCCAUGUUCCCUUGUUUUUCCCUCCUCCAUGUCCUGGGCUGUGCCCACGUGUACAAGCAUAUGACCUUCCACAGACAAUGCCCUGGCAUGAUGAGAGGUGGGGCUGGGGGAGCAUGAGGCAGGUCCCAGCUUUAAGGAGGCAUUGGGAUGUGGUCCCCACCCUGAUCAGGGCCCCACGUCCACCGGUUCACCCUUCCUCCUCUAACACCCCACGGCUGCCAGUGCCAUGUGUCCCCCCUCUUCCCUGUGGUGCAUUGAGCCAUGAUGUGGCAAUGUCCCAAAUGGCGAAAGCCAGAUUUCCCGUGUGGCAUCGGCAGUUCUGAAUCAGCUUCCACCCCUCCAGUGGAAACAAGACCUCUGACCUGCCUGGAAACCACCAUUUGUGUCUCCUUGUGACUAACCCAUGAUGCCUGUUGGAGAUGUGGCCCUGUCCUUGCCGUGUGGCUGUCCACUCUGAGACCCAGCUGCCCCUCUGGCCACUGCACGUGCUCUGCGGUUGUCUUGGCCACUCUGCUUGGCUGUGUGAGCCUGGUCUGGGCUGUGGAGGUUCAUGGAGGGAAAGCGCAGCAGCAGCCUUCAGUGUUCUGCCUCUGAAAGUGUCACAGCAGGAGAGGGAGCGGCCCUGGCUUCCCCAGCCUCUCCUUCCGGGCCCACCUUGAAGGAUGAACACAACAGCUGUGGGAAUGCUGAGUGGAAACUCAUCUGCCUGGGGACCUGUCAGACGAUGAUCCUGUUCCAUGAAGAUGGGCUGCCUCACAGACACCUGUAUGGUUAUGGCCCAUGUUAUCCAAACUGUAGGCUGUGCGGUUUCAGGACAGGACCUUCUCAUCAGGGUCAUGGAAGCCCAUGAGGCCCUGUCCCCACUGUCUGCUGUUCCUUGUCAUGAGGGUUUCUGCCCUGGGCAGGGCCCUGGCUGCCGCCUCAGCCUUAGCAUAGAGAGUGAGACCCCCUGGGGAUGGCUUUUGCUCGGCUGUAGAUGAGCCUCCGGGGCUGACCUCAUGACUGGUCUGGAGGUGCCCAAGUCAGGGCCCCAGGAGCUCCCUAUCCAGGCAGGCAGGGGGUCAUGUGCUGCCUGCCUGUUCCCUAGUCACAUGGUGACAUUCAACCCUUUUGUCACAUCUCUGUGUCAGCACAAAGCAGCCAGAGCAUGUGUGCCUGCCAGUUCCCAUGCCUGGGCUGCAGCCUCAGGGGCCCUGGCAGCACGUGUGGAGUCCCUGACCCAUGUGGGGCUGCUGAAGAGCGAGUGGGAGUGAACGCCUCCUGGUGGGGCCUCCUGGCCCAGGGCUUGCUCCUUGAGCAGGUUUGGAAGGUGGAAAGCAGGCAGCUGAGGCCCCUUGAUGCGGAGGCCUCUGGGAUGCGCCACACUGACCACUGCUCUGCCUCUACUCUUCCCGGGACUUGAGAGGGACCCUGUCCUUUCCUGUGAGUGUGGAAAGAGCUGCCCCCGAGGGGCUGAGCGCCUGUGGGGAGCCUCAGAAAACCUCUGGAUGCUGUUGACCACGCAGCCAAGCUCUCUCCAUGGUCACUGACUUAAUCAGGCUUUCAAUAUAAAGUCAGAUGACCCACAGAGCUGCUCCUGGGACCAGGGAGACCAUGGUGACUUUAGCACAGUAGACUUAACAGCUGCAGCAACUCUUGCUAGCCCUAAUGACACAGCACUGAAACCAAGUGCCAGGAAGCAGACUGCAGCCAGGAGGAGGAGGAG